GGCGGCAUGCCUUACACAUGCAAGUCGAACGGCAGCACGGGGGCAACCCUGGUGGCGAGUGGCGAACGGGUGAGUAAUACAUCGGAACGUGUCCUGUAGUGGGGGAUAGCCCGGCGAAAGCCGGAUUAAUACCGCAUACGAUCUACGGAAGAAAGCGGGGGAUCGCAAGACCUCGCGCUAUAGGGGCGGCCGAUGGCAGACUAGCUAGUUGGUGGGGUAAAGGCCUACCAAGGCGACGAUCUGUAGCUGGUCUGAGAGGACGACCAGCCACACUGGGACUGAGACACGGCCCAGACUCCUACGGGAGGCAGCAGUGGGGAAUUUUGGACAAUGGGGGAAACCCUGAUCCAGCAAUGCCGCGUGUGUGAAGAAGGCCUUCGGGUUGUAAAGCACUUUUGUCCGGAAAGAAAACCUUUGCACUAAUACUGUGAGGGGAUGACGGUACCGGAAGAAUAAGCACCGGCUAACUACGUGCCAGCAGCCGCGGUAAUACGUAGG
rnacentral:rRNA from 1 species